rnacentral:lncRNA from 1 species
CUCUGCUCUUUUUCCUCUGACUGGGGAUGCUCCAUAUGGGGGCUGCUCUGUCAGUUGAGGUCGUGGAGUGAAGAGGAGGCAGAGCAGAGCUACAGCAGACCCACAUGGGCCAGCAUAUUACCUUGAACCUCACAAAGACUGGACUAGGACCUGCAGACUUCUGUUCAGUUCCAGAUUAUUUGGAGGGCCUGAAGAGACCCUUGGGGUCAUGGGCAUCAGAAGAUUCCCUGACAACUGAUCUGGGCAUCACAUCAUGCAUGCAAAGGAAGAUUUAACAGCACCACAGCAGAGCCAUGCAUAGGAGCACAUAAUCAUUCAAGCUCCAGGACAUGAGAGGGGAAGGAAUCAUCAGCUCUGGGAAGGGCAAAUUCCAGAGGGCCUUCUAGAGGUGACCCUUGAGCCAUGUUAAAGAUGGAGAGGGACUGUACCUUUGGCAGAAGUAGCAGAGAG